UGGGGAAUAUUGCACAAUGGGCGCAAGCCUGAUGCAGCCAUGCCGCGUGUGUGAAGAAGGCCUUCGGGUUGUAAAGCACUUUCAGCGGGGAGGAAGGCGUUAAGGUUAAUAACCUUGGCGAUUGACGUUACCCGCAGAAGAAGCACCGGCUAACUCCGUGCCAGCAGCCGCGGUAAUACGGAGGGUGCAAGCGUUAAUCGGAAUUACUGGGCGUAAAGCGCACGCAGGCGGUCUGUCAAGUCGGAUGUGAAAUCCCCGGGCUCAACCUGGGAACUGCAUUCGAAACUGGGAGGGUAGAGUCUUGUAGAGGGGGGUAGAAUUCCAGGUGUAGCGGUGAAAUGCGUAGAGAUCUGGAGGAAUACCGGUGGCGAAGGCGGCCCCCUGGACAAAGACUGACGCUCAGGUGCGAAAGCGUGGGGAGCAAACAGG
rnacentral:rRNA from 1 species